AUGCAUUUUAUUUUAUAAUACCCA
rnacentral:siRNA from 1 species